GAGGUCUGCUCCUCUCAAACGAAUCAGCUUGCCGGUGUUUGGCGGCAACCGUGGGUGUGAUAACUAUCUACGCUCGUGGUUUUCCACCAGGUAACCUUCAGCAGUGGAGGUUCACUGGAGCUCACAGACGUCUCUCCUCAGCGAGGACAGCUCUUUGAAUGUUUGAUCUCAAAUCAGGUAGGACUACCCGCUGAACUUAA
rnacentral:misc_RNA from 1 species